rfam:Schistosoma rodhaini strain Burundi genome assembly, scaffold: SROB_scaffold0011989
AUCCAGCUGACGAGUGUCAAAUAGGACGAAGUGACGCCCGUCCUGGAU